CAAAUGCUAGCCUUUCUUUCUGUCAUCCACUUUCUCGUUUAUUCCGUUCGCUUUACUGAGACCAAAGGAAGGAAAAUUUGAUUCUUGCUUUGAGAUUUUGCUGAUCCAUUCUUGGAACACCGGUUACAAUUGAGAUAGGGGGUUUUCCAUUCUUUUUAUGUACAAUUUCAAUUGUGCCUUUUAAUCAGUAUUUGAGUGGGGGUUUCUUUCUCUUCAAUUUUUAUUUCAAAAUGCUGUAAAUAGAUUUGAAAUCUUGUUUAUUCCUUGUGUUUAAUCCCUGCAAUUUCUACAUUAUGAUACUGCAUGUUGUUCUUAGGUAAGAAUUUGAACAUUGAAGAGUUUGAUAUGUUUUUAUUUUGCACAAGUGCUGAAUUUUUGAUGAGAUAUUAAGCGAAAAAUGAUUUUCAUAAUGGCCUUUAACUUAUUUGAUAAAAUGUUUAAAUGGAGUUCCGCUCAUAGUUUAUGAAAACCAAUUUUGGUAUGUACAAUAGCUUGAUUUCUUUCCAUGUCUAAUCCCUGAACCUUUUAGUUUCACCAAACCGGUAGUAAGAGUCAACCGAUUUUACUCACAAUUUUUGGGUUUAAACUAUCAAUGCAUACCCUGUUUGCUAAAAUGACCCAAUGAGCUAGUCUUCGAAAUGAGUCCAUGAACAAAUCUGUUUUGCCUUCCUGAUUUAAACCUUGAUCUGAUGUUGGUCGACCAUAAAAGCUUUGCAACUAAAAUGUUACUUACAAUCUUAGUCUUUGUCUUUUUUACCUGUUUUAUAUUACAAAAUUUUCCUUUGAACUUCUUUGUUUUAUGAUUACUUUGUAUUAAAUAAGAAAUGAAUCUUAAUUGGUUUUGCAAGUUGUCAUCUUUUCGCUAGUAAUUGUGCUGAAAGAAACAAUGGCUUACUAAUGGAGUUUCAAUUUUUGUUUUGAUGUUUUAUGCAUGCAUUUAGUUAGCACCUGACCAACACCUAUCUUAAUGUUUUUCUUUUUAUAAGAAAAUUCUUAAAAUGCAUCGAACUAGUGCUACUGUUUCUAGUUUAUGGUUUGAUGAUUACAUUUUUUCUCAAAAAUUCAAUAUGAUGCUACUACCCCACUUAUGCUCUUUAUAUGUUUGAUAUGGUUGGUCUUUUUUUUCAUUUUACAAUCUCAUGUUUGAUUUCUACGUAUCAAACUUAACAUUUUGGCAUAAAGGAAAUGAAACCAUACCAAUCGCUUUCUGCUUAGUAUUUUUGGCAUGAGUGAUUUCGGUAAAACCAUAAACCAUCUGUUCAGUUUUAUUUGUUUGGCCCUUCAUGUUAAUGUUGUGUCACCGUUAUUGAUUUUGAUAUUCAUUUUACAAUUUGGACAUUUACCGGGUUACCACUUCUUUAUAAAAUGAUGGAUUGGGUUAACGAGAUUUGAUUUCAGAGUUUUGCUUUCGCCUUGGAGUUUUACUGAGACUUUCGAGUACGAGGCGAUGGUGAGGCAGUAAGUUUGGGAAGAGCUUACGGCUGGGCGCCUGAGCAAAAUGUUGGUAUUUUUGCUUGUUUAUAAUGUGUAUAUCACGGGGUUAUCUGGAUAGUUUAUUUUGCUGUUAUCCCAUGUUAUUUUGAUGUGUUUCGCUGUUGUAUAUAUGAUGGGAUCUAGUAGAAAGUAUUUGGUUAUGCCGACGUCGAACAGUCUGCAUUAUUUUGGGUCUACUGCAUGUAAAUCCUUUCUUGAUGUCAUUUCAAAAAAGUGUUGGCAUGUCUUCCAUUAUGUAAUGUUAACUCUCAGAUUUCAGUUCUUUUCUACUACUAUGCUUUCAAACUUAAGUAUCAAUUUGGAACUUGGGUAAUCCAUGUUUGAACUGUUUUUUGGACUAUGAUAGUGUAGACAUUAAACAAGGCGUGUUUACUUUCGGUUAGGAACCAUUCUCAUGUUCAUUUUCCAGUUAGUUCAAAACAAUAUUUCAUUUAUCUUUUUGUAAAAUGAUGUCUUGAAACUUACUGCAAGGGUAAUGGAUAUUAAUAAAUGUUUAAAUUAA